UACAGAGGGUGCAAGCGUUGUUCGGAAUUAUUGGGCGUAAAGGGCGCGUAGGCGGUCAGCACAAGUCAGUUGUGAAAUCUCCGGGCUUAACUCGGAAAGGUCAACUGAUACUGUGCGACUAGAGUGCGGAAGGGGCAACUGGAAUUCUCGGUGUAGCGGUGAAAUGCGUAGAUAUCGAGAGGAACACCUGCGGCGAAGGCGGGUUGCUGGGCCGACACUGACGCUGAUGCGCGAAAGCCAGGGGAGCGAACGGG
rnacentral:rRNA from 1 species